CUUUGCAAGUGUGGAUGCCCAGAUGAGGGAUGCCUCAAGGUCACGCAGGACGUGAGGCCGCUGAGGACCGCACAGGGGAGCGGGCGGCGGCAUCGCGAGGACUGACCACUGGGUGGCACUGUUGCUCCAUGGAGAGCUGCCAACGGCGUCCCCGGGGACCCGGCCACGUUGAGCACAAAAGGGUGACCUUGUGGAGGUCACCGCCAGAGGAGUUUCCGGAAGCCCAGCGGAAAGCAUUGCAGAGGAGCCUGGCAACCAUGUCCCAAGUUGGAAGGAAGCUCUGAGAACCCUGCUCCCCAGAAAUCCUGAGCAAAGGCUGGCUGGCCUACAGGAGCAGUCUAGAGUAAGAGCUGUUUCCUGGCAGAGGAUCAAGUAUCCAGGUCACAUUGAAGAGACAUGUGAGGACUCCAAUGGAGAACAAUUUGAGAGUGAGAAACCAGUUCUGGAGGCCAGGAAGUUCAAGAUCAAGGUGUUGGCAAGUUCAGUGUCUGCUGAGGACCUGAUCUCUCUUCUUUCAAGAUGGCAUCUUGUUGCUCUUCCCUCCAGAGAGUAGAAAUGCUGGAACCUCACAUGGAGGAAAAAAUGAAAAGGACCAAUGCUAGUUCCCUUCAGCCUUUUUAUGAACUCACUAAUUCCCAUUGAGGGCUCCACAUACAUGACUUAAUCACCUCCUAAAUGCCUGACUUCCUAAUACUCUCAUUUUGAAGAUUAAGUUUCAACAUAUGAAUUUGGGGGUCAUAUUCAGAACAUAGCACUUAUGAUACUAUCUCAAAUCAUAGACUGCUUUCUCGGUGGGCAUCUAUCUCAGUUUCUUUUCUGUUGUUAUUACAGAGUACCUGAGCCUGAGUAAUUUAUAAAGAAAAUACAUUUAUUUUGGCUCAUGGCUCUAUAGGCUGGGAAGUCCAAGAUUGGGCGGUUACAUCUGGUUGGCUCCUGGUGCGGGCCUCCUGCCGCAUCAUAACAAGGUAGAGAAGUGAAAGGGAAGGUGGGCUUGUAGGAAGGGGGCAAAGCAUGAAGGGCAGGCUUGCUUUAUAGAAACUGGGACACAGCACCCCACAGGAUGAGUGUAUAAAGGCUAGACAGACAAGGGGAUUGUUGUGUUGAACCUGAAAAGUCCCCUCACCUGGCAAUGCUCUCUGUUCCCUGUGAGAAGAAGGGGUUUCUUUUCUUCUGGGAUGAUUCAUCCCUUCACCUGUGGCCUUCCCUAGAGCCCAUCCUUGUGCCAUUCUGCUCUCCAGGCACAUCUCUCUCAGAUGAAUUCCCUCUUCCCUCUUCCUCUGGCCCCUCCUGUUUAUUUAUCUGUUUCCUCACCACUGUGUAAUCAGGUAGGCCCCACUGCUGUGACCUCUGGAAUAAUGAUUGAAUCUGCCCUAUCCUCUCCACAGUGAUGCCUGGGACCCAGCUGAGAUCUCCAUCAUCUCUCAAAACAACUGUGCACUGACCUCCUGACCUAAGCCCAGCCUCUGCCCACUCAGACUGACCUUCACGCAGCUGCACAAUGCUGCAUUUGGAAGCCGGACCUGACCACAUUCGUUUCCCUCUAGAUUCAUGUUCUGGAGAAAUGAAAAUGCUGUCUCAGUGGAAUGUUGAUUAGCUGGAGUGGAGACCCAAGAUCUCUGUCCAGGCAGGGCCAUCAACUAGAGGUGGCCCUGUGAUUGAUGAGUGACCAGCCAUGUGUGGAGAAAAGCAAUGUGAACAACUUCUGACUUCGCUGUUAAAGAAAAUUGGUCUGUCCCCCAUUUCCUUGCAUUCCCAUUCUUACUGGCUGAAAUUCAAAGCUGAUAAAUGGAGCUAGAGCAGAUAGCUGGGAAAAUGAGUUGAGGGUCUUACAUUAAGACUUGCCAGCAAGAAGAAGAAUUUUUCCAGGGUUCCUGACACCGCCAAAUUGUUCGAUCAGCUCUGAACUCUAUACUGAGAUUCUUUAAGUAUGAGAGACAUGAACUUUGACUGGCUUAAGUGAGCUAUUGAGGUCUCUUUGCUAUUGUGACCUAACUCAGGGGUCAGCAAAUAACACUCUGUGCGCAAAAUCUGACUACGAUCUGUUUUUGUAACUAAAUAAAAUUUCACUGAAACACACCCAUGCUCAUUUAUUUAGGUAUGGCUGCUUUCAUGAUACCAUGGCACAUUUGACUACCUAUAGACAGUGAUAUGAUGUGGAUCUGUGUCCCCACCCAAAUCUCAUGUUGAAAUGUAAUCCCCCUGUGCUGGAGGUGGGAUCUGGUGGGAGGUGAAAUGGGGGCGGUUUCUCAAGAAUGGUUUAGCUCCAUUUCUCUGCUGCUGUAUUCAUGAUAGUAAGUGAGUGAGUUGUCACAAGAUCUGAUUGUGUAAAAGUGUGUGGCACCUCCCCCUUCUCUCUUGCUCCUUCUCGGCCAUGUAAGACCUGCCUGCUUCCCCUUCACCUUCCACCAUGAUUGUAAAUUUCAU
rnacentral:lncRNA from 1 species